rnacentral:rRNA from 1 species
UACGAAGGGAGCUAGCGUUGUUCGGAAUCACUGGGCGUAAAGCGCACGUAGGCGGAUGUGUCAGUCAGGGGUGAAAUCCCGGAGCUCAACUUCGGAACUGCCUUUGAUACAGCACAUCUGGAGUCCGGAAGAGGUGGGUGGAAUUCCGCGUGUAGCAGUGAAAUGCGUAGAGAUGCAGAGGAACACCGAUGGCGAAGGCAGCCCCCUGGGCUAGCACUGACGCUCAGGCACGAAAGCGUGGGGAGCAAACAGG